GUGCCAGCAGCCGCGGUAAUACGGAGGAUGCGAGCGUUAUCCGGAUUUAUUGGGUUUAAAGGGUGCGUAGGUGGUGAUUUAAGUCAGCGGUGAAAGUUUGUGGCUCAACCAUAAAAUUGCCGUUGAAACUGGGUUACUUGAGUGUGUUUGAGGUAGGCGGAAUGCGUGGUGUAGCGGUGAAAUGCAUAGAUAUCACGCAGAACUCCGAUUGCGAAGGCAGCUUACUAAACCAUAACUGACACUGAAGCACGAAAGCGUGGGGAUCAAACAGGAUUAGAUACCCUGGUAGUCC
rnacentral:rRNA from 1 species